rnacentral:rRNA from 1 species
CCUACGGGCGGCAGCAGUGGGGAAUAUUGGACAACGGGCGAAAGCCUGAUCCAGCCAUGCCGCGUGUGUGAAGAAGGCCUUCGGGUUGUAAAGCACUUUCAGUGGGGAAGAAAGCCUUGGGGCUAAUACCCUCGAGGAAGGACAUCACCCACAGAAGAAGCACCGGCUAACUCCGUGCCAGCAGCCGCGGUAAUACGGAGGGUGCGAGCGUUAAUCGGAAUUACUGGGCGUAAAGCGCGCGUAGGCGGUCUGAUAAGCCGGUUGUGAAAGCCCCGGGCUCAACCUGGGAACGGCAUCCGGAACUGUCAGGCUAGAGUGCAGGAGAGGAAGGUAGAAUUCCCGGUGUAGCGGUGAAAUGCGUAGAGAUCGGGAGGAAUACCAGUGGCGAAGGCGGCCUUCUGGACUGACACUGACGCUGAGGUGCGAAAGCGUGGGUAGCAAACAGGAUUAGAUACCCGGGUAGUC